rnacentral:rRNA from 1 species
AAGGAAUAUUGCGCAAUGGGCGAAAGCCUGACGCAGCGACGCCGCGUGGGGGAUGAAGGUCUUCGGAUUGUAAACCCCUUUCGGGAGGGAAGAUGGGAUGGGGUAACCCCUUCGGACGGUACCUCCAGAAGCAGCCACGUCUAACUUCGUGCCAGCAGCCGCGGUAAUACGAAGGUGGCAAGCGUUGUUCGGAUUCACUGGGCGUACAGGGUGUGUAGGCGGUUUGGUAAGCCUUCUGUUAAAGCUUCGGGCCCAACCCGGAAAGCGCAGAGGGUACUGCCAGGCUAGAGGGCGGGAGAGGAGCGCGGAAUUCCCGGUGUAGCGGUGAAAUGCGUAGAGAUCGGGAGGAAGGCCGGUGGCGAAGGCGGCGCUCUGGAACGUACCUGACGCUGAGACACGAAAGCGUGGGGAGCAAAC